GACGAACGCUGGCGGCGUGCUUAACACAUGCCAGUCGAACGGUAAGGCCCUGCUUGCAGGGUACUCGAGUGGCGAACGGGUGAGUAACACGUGGGUGAUCUGCCCUGCACUUCGGGAUAAGCCUGGGAAACUGGGUCUAAUACCGGAUAGGAGCCAUUUUUAGUGUGAUGGUUGGAAAGUUUUUUCGGUGUAGGAUGAGCUCGCGGCCUAUCAGCUUGUUGGUGGGGUAAUGGCCUACCAAGGCGGCGACGGGUAGCCGGCCUGAGAGGGUGGACGGCCACAUUGGGACUGAGAUACGGCCCAGACUCCUACGGGAGGCAGCAGUGGGGAAUAUUGCACAAUGGGCGCAAGCCUGAUGCAGCGACGCCGCGUGGGGGAUGACGGCCUUCGGGUUGUAAACUCCUUUCGCUAGGGACGAAGCUUUUUGUGACGGUACCUAGAGAAGAAGCACCGGCUAACUACGUG
rnacentral:rRNA from 1 species